CCCUUAGAUGUUCUGGGCCGCACGCGCGCUACACUGAUCGGUGCAACAAGCAUCCGUCCUUGGCCGACAGGCCCGGGCAAUCUUUGAACGCCGGUCGUGAUGGGGAUAGACCUUUGCAAUUUUUGGUCUUCAACGAGGAAUUCCUAGUAAACGCAAGUCAUCAGCUUGCAUUGAUUACGUCCCUGCCCUUUGUACACACCGCCCGUCGCACCUACCGAUUGAAUGGUCCGGUGAAAUCUCGGGACGGCGGCUUGGUCGCUUGCGUCCGACUGCUGAAACUUGAUUAAACCAUAUCAUUUAGAGGAAGGUGAAGUCGUAACA
rnacentral:rRNA from 1 species